AUGUCAGAAGGACAUUUUUUGGUCAGUUGAUUGUAUCUCUCCCAAGCUUCAUAGAGAAAUUCACCUUCUUUCUGUCUAAAGGUUUGAACAUCCACUCUAAACUU